CUACAGUAUGGACGGCUACAGUAUGGACUGCAACAAUGCAAGCUUCACACAUUGUCCUGCCAUAUGCCGCCACCCUGACCUGGAGGAACCAACUCUAAGG
rnacentral:sRNA from 1 species